rnacentral:rRNA from 1 species
AUACGUAGGGUGCGAGCGUUGUCCGGAAUUACUGGGCGUAAAGAGCUCGUAGGUGGUUUGUCGCGUCGUCUGUGAAAUUCCGGGGCUUGACUCCGGGCGUGCGGGCGAUACGGGCAUAACUUGAGUACUGUAGGGGAGACUGGAAUUCCUGGUGUAGCGGGGAAAUGCGCAGAUAUCAGGAGGAACACCGGUGGCGAAGGCGGGUCUCUGGGCAGUAACUGACGCUGAGGAGCGAAAGCAUGGGUAGCGAACAGGAUUAGACACCCUGGUAGUCCAUGCCGUAAACGGUGGGCGCUAGGUGUAGGGGUCUUCCACGACUUCUGUGCCGUAGCUAACGCAUUAAGCGCCCCGCCUGGGGAGUACGGCCGCAAGGCUAAAACUUAAAGGAAUUGACGGGG